AAAAAAAUUAUAUUCCAGAAAUGUUCCAUAUUUCUCAAAAAAAAAUUGUGCAGAAAUUUGUUUCCAUCACCUGUUAGUGACUAUUUCUCAUUUGUCAAGAUUAUCCAUCCAUCUGACAGGUGUGGUAUAUCAAUAAACUGAUUAAACAGCAUGAUCAUUACACAGGUGCACCUUCCGCUGGGGACAAUAACAUCAUGAUCAUUACACAGGUGCACCUUCCGCUGGGGACAAUAACAUCAUGAUCAUUACACAGGUGCACCUUCCGCUGGGGACAAUAACAUCAUGAUCAUUACACAGGUGCACCUUCCGCUGGGGACAAUAACAGCAUGAUCAUUACACAGGUGCACCUUCCGCUGGGGACAAUAACAACAUGAUCAUUACACAGGUGUAAUCUUCUCUACAUGGCCAGUCUGAUAGUGGUCUUCUCCACAUGGCCAGACUGAUAGUGGUCUUAUCCACAUGGCCAGACUGAUAGUGGUCUUCUCCACAUGGCCAGACUGAUAGUGGUCUUCUCCCCUUUUCAAGGCUCUUAUG
ensembl:lncRNA